rnacentral:rRNA from 1 species
AUUGAACGCUGGCGGCAUGCCUUACACAUGCAAGUCGAACGGCAGCACGGGAGCAAUCCUGGUGGCGAGUGGCGAACGGGUGAGUAAAGUAUCGGAACGUGCCCAGUCGUGGGGGAUAACGUAGCGAAAGUUACGCUAAUACCGCAUACGAUCUAUGGAUGAAAGCGGGGGAUCGCAAGACCUCGCGCGAUUGGAGCGGCCUAUAUCAGAUUAGGUAGUUGGUGGGGUAAAGGCUCACCAAGCCGCCGAUCUGUAGCUGGUCGGAGAGGACGACCAGCCACACUGGGACUGAGACACGGCCCAGACUCCUACGGGAGGCAGCAGUGGGGAAUUUUGGACAAUGGGCGAAAGCCUGAUCCAGCCAUGCCGCGUGCAGGAUGAAGGCCUUCGGGUUGUAAACUGCUUUUGUACGGAACGAAAAGGUUUGGGCUAAUAAGCUGAGCUCAUGACGGUACCGUAAGAAUAAGCACCGGCUAACUACGUGCCAGCCGCCGCCGUAA